AACCUUCACUACUUGUGAAUAUAAGUUCAUAACGAUUAGGUGAAAUUCACUUAUAUUCUAGCAUCAAAUUCAUGCAUGUAAAUUAAGUAUGCAUCCUUAAUCGACAUACAAAAAUAAGUUAUCAAUCAAGCAGUUAAGCAAAUUAAAUCACAACUCAGAGAUCACAACUGAAGGUAAUCAAUUCAUAUUACAAAUAUAUUCAUGGUUUCGAAUUAACCUCUAGCCAAAAUAAAUUUAAUUACACAUUAUUAAAACAGAAAUAAAAUAUAAGUUUGGAAAGAUUAAACCGAAAGAAGAUGAUCUGCUGCUUCUGAUCUCUCCUUCCUGCUGCUAUUUUAUUUUUCCCUUUUUUUCUUCCAGCUCACGCUGUCUCUCUCUACAUAGCUGCCAACGCAGCCUUUCUCCCGCGUCUCACACGCCUCUGUCUUCUUGCUGCGCCCCCUGCUUUUCUGUCAGUCCCUCACCUUUAUUUCUUUCUUCUUUCUUAUUCGCUUCCCUCACGUCUCUCUAUCCUCUCUGACCCAGUGCUGCCAAAGGCAGCUCCAUCUCCCCCCCCCCCAAUUGCCUCUGCUUUCCAUUCUUUUAUUCCCUUUUUUCCAGCUGCCCUUGGAUUCUUUCACCGUUCUUUUCUGCUCUGACUCCUUCACGUAUCCAGCUCCUUCUUUCUUUUAUUCUUUUCACCCUCCCGUGUGUACUCACUUCUCUCCCACGUCAGUCCUCUCUUGGAUUCCCUUUUCUUUAGCUUUCUUUAUUUUUAUUUUUUUUUUCAUUUCUUUUCUUUAUUCUUUCUACAAAACAUAAAUAUGAUGAUGUUUCACAAAAAUAACGUAAAUAGCUCAAAAAUAUAAGGAACUAACUAAGAAAAGACGAGUGAAUUCGAAGUAAAAAUAUAUAUAAAUAUGAUCCGAUCAAAUACCCCCACACUUAACUUUUGCUAGUCCUUGAGCAAAACAAAGAAAAUAAGAACAAGAAGUAACAAGAAAAACAUUAGCUUCCUUCUAUGUGACCCUCAUAGAAAUUCAUUUAAGAAAACAAAUCAUCAAGAACCAUAGCUAGCAUCAAGGAACUAAUCCAAGUUCAUCUUCCUUAUUCAAAUAUUAGCAGUAAUCUUUGAAUCAUCCUUGAAGUGUAGUGUGUGAGAUAGCCAUGCUAAUGCAAUUUCAAGUUUUUAUUUUUAAAAUCAUCAUAUGCAAACUAGUAACAUUCUCACGGGAUAUACACUCAAUCACAUAUGUGUUUAGUUUUAAUGUGUUUCGCUCAAAGAAUCAAAUGUGAAAUUUCUACCAUAAGCUUGCAUAAAGAUCACUUCUCCACAGUCAUAAUUGCAAAACUUAAAUCAAGAGGACUUUUAUUGGACGUAAUGAGGUUUAGGGAGAGGGUUAUUGAAAUGAAAGAAUAGGUAAACACAAGUUCCAAGCUACAUUGCAAGCAAUUCUUUUGUUUAGAUUUAUAAGAACUCAAUAUUUCCAGCGAUUCUUCUAGCACCUCCAACCACACCCUUAAACUGAAACUUUAAAAACUUUUUAUUUUCUUUGUAUACAAAUUUUUUUUUCUUUAAAUACAAACAUGAAAUACCCCCACACUUAUUCUUUUGCCAAACACCUUCAAAGUACUUCACAAACAUUUCUCAUAAGACAAUCUCACAUUGCUCACUAGCUUGCUUGGAAAGGGUAAAGAAGAAUGUUUCAGGUAUAAGGGUAGACAUAUCUGGUGGUAAGAAAUAAAAGGCUCAACAUACACAGCUCAAAUUGGCAAUCUAAUGAUAUCAUUUUUAUUUGGGAAACAUGGUUAUUUGGGCUAUAGUGGUAAACCUAAUGCCUCUAUCAUUUCCAAGUUCAUGCAAUCAAUGACAAACAUUUCGAAAGAUCGUUACGCAAGUUCUAGAGAUGUAUCUCACAUAAGUUCAUCACACAUGAAAGAAUAGGAGUGUAUAAAAAAUGCACACACUUUCAAUAGGCUCAAAAACUCACAUAGGAUGUAUAUGGUCACUAAAUUCACAUAUGACGCUUUAAUUCAUACUUUAGUUUCACAUUAACAAGGCUAUGUGCAUUUGGUUUUUCAAAGAUGGUCAAACAUGUACAAAACUAACAAGAGAAUAAGGAAUUUCACAAAACACAUGUUAACUAAGUUCUUGAUGAUCAUGGUUCGAAUUUGAUCCAAUUAUAUCAUUGGGUCGGGAAACUAACAAAAAUCUAAUUCAAAACAAUAAGGGAAACAAGACAAUAUUUUUGGAUUUUUAAAUUUCCGAUUUUUUUUAUUUUUUAUUUUUAAAGAAAACAAAAAGCAACAACACAGAAACAAAUGAAAUUCUAGAGAUUUCUACCCCCACACUUAAACUUGACAUUGUCCCCAAUGUCAGAAAACACUAUAACGCAAAUAAAAAUAAAAUAAAAUAAAUAAAUAAUAAGAAACAAAAUAAAGCAAUUGGACUAAAAACUUCCCUAAUUUGCAGUAAAAUCAAGCGAUGACCCCCAAGCUAAAAUUCUGCAAUCAACUUCAAGGGUGGAAAUAACCAAAAGUUCCUGCAAAGAAAAGAAAUAAUUCAGUUAAGUAACGCAAGAAAAUAAAAUAAUAAUAAAAAAUAAAUAAAAAAAAUUGCAAACGAAAAAUUGAAAAUCACGAUAAAAGACAAUGAAUAGAACUAAUAAGUAAUCAUUGGUCGUGUUUGUUGACUUUCCACAGCUUUCCUCUUGAACGGGGUGACACUUAGCUUUUUACUUGCAAGUGAUGAUUUGAUGAUAUUGUACGGCGAAGCUUUGCUCUUUGGUGAUGUUGCAGUUCCUUAUUUGUUCUCCAAGCAGAUGUGGCAGCUUCUCUAGUUCUUCAGCUCGGACUCCUUCCGCUGGGAUGAUUGUGCAAGCUGCAUUCUUCUCUGCUUGUUUCUUCUGUACGUUGUCUCCACAUGCUGCUGGUAUCAUUUUCGCUUGCCUUAUCUGUUCUUCAGGUAGAUGUGGCAGCUUCUUUGGAAGUACAUCAGCAGUGGAAGACGAGUACUCGAGAGCAAUUUCCAUGUCCUGCAGGUUAGAACAAAGACAAGGAAAAGGACAUGGAGAAUGCAUGAUAUGAGAUACUCUUGCUUUCAACAUUUAUGAUAUGAAAUACUCUUGCUUUGAAUGGGUUGUUCGCAGGAGUAUCCCAAGGAAUGAGGAACACAGAGUAACUUAGGAGGAUUCUUUGGGAAUGCAUUUUCGGAGAUGAAGAAGUGCUGAGAGAGAAGUGCUUUUGCUGUGGAAGGCGAAGGUGGAAACUUAUAGGACUUUUCUUCACAACCGGAACUGUUCUCUCACUUAUUGUCGGCAGCCGGUGGAUGGAUGAAUAGUACAAAUUACGCGCUUUCUGACAAAGCUGCCCGUAAUUUCCGCAAAGCUGCAAGUUGCAUGUGACGAGUGACGACACGUCUGGACAAAUUGAUCUUUUGAAAUCCGGGUUUCGGCUCGUGGUUUCUGAGCAAGCCCAUUUUUUGAGAAAUGAAACGCCUCUUUUGAGAAAAGAAUCCGGCUUUUGAGAAAGGAAACUCCUCUUUUGAGAAAAGAAUCAGGCGUUUGAGAAAGGAGCCCCGACUCUUCGAUUUGCGAGAGGACGCUUCUCUGAGGAGCGCCUCUCCGAUUUCUUCUUUUUAUAGAGGCGCUAAUUUUGUUCCACAACACACUUGAGCUCCCUCUUGUAAACACUCCCUCCUGUAAACUUCCAAAAUCUUAAUCAGUCCGACUCUCUUCUUUCUUCACCACCUUCAGAAAAUGUCUGGCCCUUCCGAUCGUCGUUUUGACUUGAACAUUGGUGAAGAGGCAGCUCCGCCUUCACCAGACAACAUAUGGCGCCCAUCUUUCAUAUCCCCUACAGGUCCUCUCACCGUUGGGGAUUCGGUGAUGAAAAAUGACAUGACUGCUGCGGUGGUGGCCCGGAACCUUGUCACCCCCCGAGAUAACAGACUGCUCGCUAGACGGUCUGAUGAAUUGGCGGUUAAGGAGUCUCUGGCUCUUAGCGUGCAGUGUGCGGGUUCUGUGUCCAACAUGGCCCAACGCCUAUUUGCUCGAACCCGUCACGUCGAAUCGUUGGUGGCUGAAAUACAGAGUCUCAAAGAGGAGAUUAGAGGACUCAAGCAUGAAAAUAAACAAUUGCACAAGCUUGCACACAAUUAUGCCACAAACAUGAAGAGGAAAAUUGACCAGCUGCAGGAAAAUGAUGGUCAGAUUUUACUUGAUCACCGGAGGUUUGUGGGUUUGUUCCAACCGCAUCUGCCUUCGUCUUCUGGGGCGGCACCGCGUAGUGAAGCUCCAACUGAUCAACCUCCGAUACCUCCUCCUUCCGUGGCCCCGCCGACUGCUGAAGCUCCGCCGACUACUGAAGCACCACCUGACCAAUGAAUGCUGUUAGUUUACACAUCAUUGUAAAAUAUUUUUACUUUUAUGUGUUUUUUUUUUUUUUAGGUGUGUUUUUGUUUUUUUUUUUUUUUUUUUUUUUGUUUUUUUGUUUUUUUUUUUAUCAAUGCAAAAUAUGUAAAUCAAUGUAAAAAGACUUUGUUUAACCUUCCCCCACACUUAAACUAAAUAACACAAACUCACAGAAAUCAACCAAAUAACACAACUAACUGAACAAAACAAAAUGAAAUCAGUAAAGAUAAGGGUGUAAGAAUGCAAAUCUGAUUUGGUUAGCGAUUCCAAAGUCUCCCUUCGUUGAAUGCUUGGGUUGCCUCCCAAGAAGCGCUUGAUUUAACGUCUUUAGCCGGACGAAUCUUUCCUUUAAACUCCCCUCGGCUCCAAAGCAUGGAAUUUAUCUUUUAAUGGGAGGUGAUACUUGAAAUGAUUCGGCAAUGGUUUAAAUUCAAGAGUGGGUGCCUGAAUCAUCAAAAUCAGAAAAAUGUUAGUAUAAAUAAAAAUUAAAAUUGGAGAAGAUGGCUUACUUUCUUUUUCUGACACAAACUCAAUGACAAACACCACAUUUUUGAACAUUUCCGGGACUUUGAACUUGGCCAGGUUUACUAUGAUGGUUGUGGCUUGUCCCGUUUUAUCAAACUCAACUGCUUUGGGCUUGAUUGUCUCAUGCACAGCCUCUUGGAUGUAUUCUUGAUAUGCUUCAACCACUUCAUUUUCUUGAAUCUCUUUUCUUGGUGUGCAAGGUUCUUUGAACGUUUCAAUACCAUCGGGAACUUGUUUUGGUGCACCAAGAAUUGGGAUAUCACUUUGCACCUUUGGAAGAGCUUCCACAAUGUCUUUUUCACUCUCUUUGAAAUUUGGAAUCAAAAACCUGCAAGGACAAAGGACAUUCGGUGGAAUAAUGUUAGAAUGAAGUGAAUUUAGAACUUCCUCACCUGAGUUGGAUGACAUAGGGAUUUGAGGAGCUUGCAGCAAGAAUUCUUCUAAACUGCCCAGGUCGUCCUCCUCCUCUUCUGCUUGCAGCAACAAUUCAUCCAUGUUCGGGCUGUGUUUGGAUGGUUCUGGGACAGCUUCAUCCUUCAUGUCACCUUCCAAAGUGAUGGCUUCAUCGAUUUCAACUUCUGCCUUUGACUUUGCAAUGUUUGAGUUGGAAAGUUCGCUUUGAUCUCGAAUCUGUGCCAUGAAUUCCACAAUCUGCCCAACUUGCAUAUCCAAUUUGUCCACUCUUUUGACUCGGUCUUGCAUCUCCUGGUUUUGAUUUUCUACUCCCUGAUUCAAAGAGGUGAGUAACUUAUUAAGUGUAUCAUUAUUCAAGGACGUACCUGAAUUGAAUUGGGCUGAUUGUUGUGGUGGCUGUGACGGUUCAUAUGGCCACUGAUAGAACUCUUCCGAUGGUGGCAAUUGUUCUUCUUUUGUGAACCCUGCGUCAAAGAAAUUAGUCCUUCAAGAAUUUCAUUAUAAUUUACGGGCAUACUUUGAUUUGAUUGGAAUUGUUGUGGGGGAUGUUGUGGUGGCUGCAUAGGUCUUGAAUAGAACUCGUCUUGCUGCCAAUAUCCACCUUGUUGAAAUUGUUGAGGUUCAUCCCACAUAUAAUCUGAAUUACCUCUCCAAUCUGAAUUGCAAGCGUUGGAAAGCAUGUUGCCCCUUGAUUGGUUAUGGCCUUGAUAUCCCCAAACAUCUUCAUUUGCAGAAAAUUGAGGACUUUGAUAUCCUUGCCCAUAGGGCACAUCAAGUGUAGGGACACUUGGCAUUGUGGUCCGUUCGGCAUUAUGAGUCAAUUGAGCAGUGAGCUGUGCCAAUUGAGCUUGAAUGGUCGCAAGUGCCAUGUCUUGCUCCAUUUGUACCUAAAAUCAAAGAAAGAAAAAUAAAUCAAAUAUCAAAAGUAAAAUACACAAACACCAAUAUAAACAUAAACAAAAACAAAAAUAAAGGGAUUAGCAAAGUUGCUAAUCCCCGGCAACGGCGCCAAAAUUUGAUGUGAGAAUUUCUUGACACACAAUUAAACCCUCUUUUUGACAAUUGUAGUAUAGAUGUAAGUAGGGUAUCGUUCUAGGCCGGGGAUUAGGAGGGAUUGCUAAUCUAUUCUAAAUUAAUUUAAAAAUAUUAAACAAGACUCAAGGACACAAAACUAGGCUAAAAACUCUAAUAACUCGAAACACACUUAAGAUGACUCAAAAUAAUGAAAAUAAUCAAAUUAAACACUAGGAACUGAAAUGGACGGAAAUCGAAUUGAAAGACUAACAAUAAUGAAAACUAACUAAAUAAUAUAAUUUAAUAAUGGAAGGGUGUUUGGUUUUGACAAACUUAAAUAAAUUACAGAAUUGACAAAAACAUGAAAUUAAGGUGAAAGGAUAAAUGACGGACUAGCUAGAGGGUUUUUCUCCACACAUGACACAUAUGCAACCUAAAUUGAUUUUCAGUUGUUCUUUCAAUAAGUUGUGAAUUUCAACACUUCAGAUUAACCGUGAAUAGCACUUUUUUAAUCUUCAAGUUUUCCUUAAGUUAUUGAAUUGGACGGGAAAACGCAUACAACAAUUCAAACCAUUCUUCAAAAGUCCCCUACGUGAAAAGCACAAUAGAGAUACAAUCAAAGAUCAUUAAACUUUGUGAAAACUAUAAGCAUUGACGAGGCAUUCGUAACUAUGAAAAGCAUGAUACUCUUGGCAAGAAUUUACUUAACACGAUUGUGGAUAGCAACCUUCACUACUUGUGAAUAUAAGUUCAUAACGAUUAGGUGAAAUUCACUUAUAUUCUAGCAUCAAAUUCAUGCAUGUAAAUUAAGUAUGCAUCCUUAAUCAACAUACAAAAAUAAGUUAUCAAUCAAGCAGUUAAGCAAAUUAAAUCACAACUCAGAGAUCACAACUGAAGGUAAUCAAUUCAUAUUACAAAUAUAUUCAU
rnacentral:lncRNA from 1 species